rnacentral:rRNA from 1 species
GAUGAACGCUAGCGGUGUGCUUAAAGCAUGCAAGUCGAACGUGAUCUCUUGGAUUCGUCUGAGGGUGAAAGUGGCGAACGGGUGAGUAAUGCGUUGGUGAUCUGCCCCGGAGUGGGAAGUAACUAUUGGAAACGAUAGCUAAUACCCACGAUGUCCUCGUGUUUGGAAAGCGAUGACUAAAGUUCAGGCGCUCCGGGAGGAGCCGACGUCCCAUCAGCUAGUUGGUAGGGUAAUGGCCUACCAAGGCACAGACGGGGUAGGGGCGUGAGAGCGUCGACCCCCCACAAUGGUACUGACACACGGACCAGAUACCUACGGGUAGCAGCAG